GGGGGAUCGAUCAAGGGCAGGGGAAAAACAAGGGUUACCUUGUUCUUGCAAGAAUUCACCAAUUGACAAGGAGAAAUCAAGGUUUAAUUGCUGCAUGUGCUAAAACUUCAAACAUCUAAGUAUAUCUAGUAAAGUGGUGUAAAGGAAGAAGGCUCGAACUCUAAGAAGCCGGAAGGUUCACAAGACCGAGGUAAAUCCUCGACUUAGGCGAUUGGACGACUUGGAACGUGCACACAUGGUUUACGCCCGCUUCUCGCUUCCGUUGUUAAGCCCUUUUGGAAUGGUUUA